rnacentral:rRNA from 1 species
AGCGAACGCUGGCGGCGCGCCUAAUACAUGCAAGUCGAGCGAGAAGACGUAGCAAUACGUUUGUAAAGCGGCGAACGGGUGAGGAAUACAUGGGUAACCUACCCUAGAGUGGGGAAUAACUAGCCGAAAGGUUAGCUAAUACCGCGUACGCUCCUUGGACUUCGGUUCAGGGAGGAAAGCGAUACCGAGGGUAUCGCGCUCUUGGAUGGGCUCAUGUCCUAUCAGCUUGNGGUGAGGUAACGGCUCACCAAGGCUUCGACGGGUAGCUGGUCUGAGAGGACGAUCAGCCACACUGGCACUGCGACACGGGCCAGACUCCUACGGGAGGCAGCAGUAAGGAAUAUUGCGCAAUGGGCGAAAGCCUGACGCAGCGACGCCGCGUGGGGGAUGAAGGUCUUCGGAUUGUAAACCCCUUUCGGGAGGGAAGAUGGAACGAGCAAUCGUUCGGACGGUACCUCCAGAAGCAGCCACGGCUAACUUCGUGCCAGCAGCCGCA